CCAAUAGCGUAUAUUAAAGUUGCUGCAGUUAAAAAGCUCGUAGUUGAAUUUCGGGACCAAUAUGUCGGUCGUGCUUCGGUACGUACUGUCAUUAUUGGUUUCUCCCUUCUGAAGAACCUUGAUGUCAUUAAUUUGGUGUCUUGGGGAAUCAGGACUGUUACUUUGAAAAAAUUAGAGUGUUUAAAGCAGGCUCGCGCUUG
rnacentral:rRNA from 1 species